rnacentral:rRNA from 1 species
CCUACGGGGGGCAGCAGUGGGGAAUAUUGGACAAUGGGGGCAACCCUGAUCCAGCCAUGCCGCGUGUGUGAAGAAGGCCCUCGGGUUGUAAAGCACUUUCAGUGAGGAAGAACGCCUGGUGGUUAAUACCCAUCAGGAAAGACAUCACUCACAGAAGAAGCACCGGCUAACUCCGUGCCAGCAGCCGCGGUAAUACGGAGGGUGCGAGCGUUAAUCGGAAUUACUGGGCGUAAAGCGCGCGUAGGUGGCUUGAUAAGCCGGUUGUGAAAGCCCCGGGCUCAACCUGGAACGGCAUCCGGAACUGUCAAGCUAGAGUGCAGGAGAGGAAGGUAGAAUUCCCGGUGUAGCGGUGAAAUGCGUAGAGAUCGGGAGGAAUACCAGUGGCGAAGGCGGCCUUCUGGACUGACACUGACACUGAGGUGCGAAAGCGUGGGUAGCAAACAGGAUUAGAUACCCCGGUAGUC